UACGUAGGGUGCGAGCGUUGUCCGGAUUUAUUGGGCGUAAAGGGCUCGUAGGCGGCGUGUCGCGUCGGGAGUGAAAGCCCGGGGCUUAACCCCGGUUCUGCUUCCGGUACUGGCAUGCUGGAGUGUGGCAGGGGAGACUGGAAUUCCUGGUGUAGCGGUGAAAUGCGCAGAUAUCAGGAGGAACACCGGUGGCGAAGGCGGGUCUCUGGGCAGUAACUGACGCUGAGGAGCGAAAGCGUGGGGAGCGAACAGG
rnacentral:rRNA from 1 species